rnacentral:rRNA from 1 species
AUUGAACGCUGGCGGCAGGCUUAACACAUGCAAGUCGAGCGGGGAAGGUUGCUUCGGUAACUGACCUAGCGGCGGACGGGUGAGUAAUGCUUAGGAAUCUGCCUAUUAGUGGGGGACAACAUUCCGAAAGGGAUGCUAAUACCGCAUACGUCCUACGGGAGAAAGCAGGGGAUCAUUUGACCUUGCGCUAAUAGAUGAGCCUAAGUGGGAUUAGCUAGUUGGUAGAGCAAAGGCCUACCAAGGCGACCAUCUGUAGCGGGUCUGAGAGGAUGAUCCGACACACUGGGACUGAGACACGGCCCAGAAUCCUGCGGGAGGCAGAAGUUGGGAAUAUUGGACAAUGGGGGGAAACCUGAACCAGCCAUGCCGCGUGUGUGAAGAAGGCCUUUUGGUUGUAAGCACUUUAAGCGAGGAGGAGGCUCUCUUGGUUAAUACCUGAGAAGAGUGGACGUUACUCGCAGAAUAAGCACCGGCUAACUCUGUGCCAGCCGCCGCAGUAA